UAGAGUUUGAUCCUGGCUCAGAGCGAACGCUGGNGGCAGGCUUAACACAUGCNAGUCGAGCGGGCCCUUCGGGGUCNGCGGCNGACGGGUGAGUAACACGUGGGAACGUACCCNUUGGUUCGGAAUANCGCUGGGAAACUANCGCUAAUACCGGAUACGCCCUUUUGGGGAAAGGCUUGCUGCCAAAGGAUCNNCCCGCGUCUGAUUAGCUAGUUGGUGGGGUAAUGGCCUACC
rnacentral:rRNA from 1 species